UGAGCAAUGUGCCCUUGACUCUGGGAUAAGCGCUGGAAACGGCGUCUAAUACCGGAUACGACGAUCGGAGGCAUCUCCUGGUCGUGGAAAGAACUUCGGUCAAGGAUCAGCUCACGGCCUAUCAGUUAGUUGGUGAGGUAAUGGCUCACCAAGACGACGACGGGUAGCCGGCCUGAGAGGGUGACCGGCCACACGUGGGACUGAGACACGGCCCAAACUCCGUACGGGGGCAG
rnacentral:rRNA from 1 species